rnacentral:lncRNA from 1 species
AAAAUUUGAAGGGCCUGAUUACAUUUGAGCUGGCACAAAAUGUUUUGUCGGCGUGGAGGAGAGAGGCUUUGCUUUGGCAGAGUUGCAUUACAUAGUUAAACAAAUUGCACCAGAGAUCUGCUAUGGCUCUGGAGGCUACUGGCAUUCUGAGACGCCAAAGUUGAGCCUCAAUUUUACAAGCUGCUAAGACCUGCUGCAGGGAUUGAGUUUCAUUCCUGGAGACGAUACCAUUCCAACGCUUCCAAAGCUGCCAGCAGCAUAAUGCAAUGAAAGUUCCAAACUGCUCCUCAGGGAUGGAACUCCGUCCGGUAUAACUCGCUGAUCGGUUGAUCAGU